UGUCUGUAUAAGGUCCCACAGUUGACAGUGCACGUCAAGCCAUGAGGUCUAAGGAAUUGUCUGUAGACCUCCAAGACAUGGAACAGGUCUCUGUGGGUUUUUCUGUCCAUGCAUUCAGGCCAUUAAGAUGGCAGAGAAAUACGGAGAGUGUUUCCUACUCUCUCAUGUUCCAUGGACACAUUUUAUGUUGCGAACCAGCAUUCGGGAGAGGUAUAACAUAGAGGGAACCAUUUGCGAUGACUGGUGUGUGACUGCUUUCUGCGGACCAUGUGUUCAAUGCCAAAUGGUUCGUGAAGUCAAUAAGGAGAUUCCUAACUGACAGAGCCGGAAAGUGAAUGCUGACCCGCAAAGUGUUGUCUCUCGCACCUUGUUAUGAAAAUGUUAAUUAAAUUGUUGCAGUGAGGAGCCUCAAGUUUUUGUACAACAAACUUCUUAUGGUUACAUUAGGACUGCUGUCAUCUGAAGACUAUGCCUGCAAGUCAACAAACUUUUUAUGUUCCUCUGACUAUACAGCACUAUGUGAGCACAACCCUUUAUCCAAAUCCUCAGCAGUAAGAAAAAACAAGACACAGUACCAUGUGACUGUCAGAUGUAUACAAUGUGCAAUAUAACUUACAGUAUUUUACUAUUUAUGAUAAGUCUGUUAUUACCAGAUUAUGGCUAAUUUAAAUGUAUUCAACUACCAGUUGUUUAUAUGAAAAGACAUUUGAAAUAAGUACUCCACAAGAAUAGUUCAGGAAUUAAAGUCUUGUUUUUUUAAACUUUUUGGAUUAUGUGUGAAUUGCUAGAUAUUACUGCACUGUUGGAGCUAGAAAUAUAAGCAUUUCGCUGCACCUGCGAUAACAUCUGCAGAUCUGUAUUACGCGACCAAUAAACUUUGAUUUGAAAGUCGGUCUUUGACCUAAUCAACAAGCACCAAGUUCAAUAAAAAUACUAACAAAGUUACAAAAUAUCCAGUUAACCACAAGUCAUUCCUGUGGCAGUAGGACUUUAGGACCAUUUCAAUUCAAAUGUUAUUCGUCAUAUGCUUCAUAAACAACAGGUGUAGACUAACACUGAAAUGCUUACAUACGGUCCCUUCCCAACAAUGCAGAGAGUAAAAAAUGUAUACAAAUAAUAAUGAGGACUAAAUACACAAUUAAAUGUUUUUGUUUUCACCUUUAUUUAACCAGGUAGGCCAGUUGAGAACAAGUUCUCAUUUACAACUGCGACCUGGCCAAGAUAAAGCAAAGCACUUUUUGUCUUACAACAGAGUUACAUAUGGGAUAAACAAACGUACAGUCAAAAACACAAUAGAAAAAAAAAUAUAUAUAUAGUGUGUGCAAAUGUAGUAAGAUUAGAGAGUAACGAAGACUUGGCUAUAUCCACGGUGUACCAGUACACUGAGCCAAGUUUUGAGAAAAUGUCCAACUGCAAUGCCUGGGCGACUAAACUGCAUUGGUGUAAACUACUUAAGUAAAAAUACUUUAUAAAGUAAUACUUAAGUAGUAUUUUGGUGUAUCUGUCCUUAAAUAUUUAUAUUUUUGACAACUUUUACUUCACUAUAUUCCUAAAGAAAACAUUGUACUUUUUACUCCAUACAUUUUCUCUGACAACCAGAAGUACUUACUACAUUUUGAAUGCAGCAGGACAGGAAAAUUGUGAAAUGCAUGCACUUAUCAAGAGAACACGUGUCAUCCCUACUGCCUCUGGUCUGGCUGACUCACUGAACACAAAUGCAUAUUUUGUAGAUAACAUCUUCUGUGUUGGAGUGUGCCCCAGGCUAUCCGUACGUUUUAAAAAACAAUAAAAUGGUGCCGUCUGCUUUGCUUCAUUUGAAUGAAUUUCUACUUUUACUUUAGAUACUUAAGUAUAUUUUAGCAAUUAGACUUACUUAAGUAUAUUUAAAACCAAAUACUUUUAGACUUUUACUCAAGUAGUAUUGUACUAGGUGACUUUUACUUGAGUAACUUUCUAUUAAGGUAUACUUUUACUCAAGUAUGACAAUUGGGUACUGUAAAUGACAUGAAGCCAAACCAAUUCUUCGCCUAAAUUAUUUAAAUACAGUCUAUUACUAACGUUAUAGUACAGUAUGUUCUUACCAGACUUCGGGUGUUACUGUGAAAAUAUCUUCAUCCUCAACUUUCAUUUCCUCCGCGUAUUUAAAACUUUCAAAAGAGUGAGUUUCUUUCGGACACAAAAG